UGAACCAAAGCAAAAGUGUGAAAAACCAUAUACAGCUAGAUGAGCAGGAGCAGGAGAAAGAAAAUUCGAUUUUAUGUGUAAUGUGUGGUGGUGGCGAAAGAAAGCAAACGCACAAGAAGUGUUCGGACUUUGCGGUGAAAUUUCAGGUGCAAAACCUUUCUCGAACGGGAUAAAUUUGUGCGCAAAAGUGAAUUCGCUAUUUGAGACAGACUGACAGCACUGCCAAAUUGUUGCUGCUACAGUUAUACGGCCAGUCAGCAGAGAGAGACUGUUGUGUUGUGAGUGUUUAGACGGGGAAACGCCGCUUUCGUGUGUGCGCGUCGUCCCGGGUCAUAAUUUGUUUGUGUACUUCGUUUGUGUGUGAGAUAGAACGACGCAGAGGAAAAGAGGAGAGAUAGUCUACCGAAAAAAUGGCCGAUCUCGAUGCAGUGAAUCUCGGCCUGGACGAAACUGAGCGAGAUAUAGCGGAAGAGUUGGAGAAUAGCUACGAUACGCGCAGUGAGGCUUCCGGUGCGAGUUCCGACAGUACUACCACUAAUCCCAGCAUCAGUGAGGUCAGUUCGGAUUCGUCGGACGAAGACGAUGAUGAUGAUACCGAGCGGAGGAAUUCUGCCAACAAGAAGCAACAGCAGAAAAAGAAAAACAAAAAGAAAGAUGAGAAACAGUCCAAGAAGGAUGCGGAAAAAGACAGCGCAAAUGGAGGGGGUGCGGUCAACGCGAAUAACAGUACCAAGAAGGAGCGGAAAUCUCGCAGCCGGAGCCCACAGACAGCAUCUUCCGUCACCGAGACGAAACGAAAUCGGACCAAGAACAGUUCCGUGAAAAACUCAGUUAAAUCCUACGAUUAUGUUACUAAAAUCAACUAUUUAUUCCGAGAGACGAGAUUUUUCCUUAUAAAAUCGAACAACACGGAAAAUGUUACAAUUUCCAAGACAAAAGGGGUCUGGUCUACUUUACCCCCGAACGAAGCUAAUCUGAAUCAGGCUUUCCGCGAAAGUCGCAAUGUUAUAUUGGUGUUUUCAGUGAAGGAAAGCGGCAAAUUCGCCGGCUUUGCCCGAAUGGCAGCUGAAGCUCGGCGCGAUUUACCGGCCGUAGAGUGGGUACUUCCGCCCGGUAUGUCUGCGAAAGCGCUCGGAGGUGUUAUCAAAAUUGAUUGGGUGUGCAAAAAAGAACUACCAUUCACCACUACUACCCAUUUAUAUAAUCCGUGGAACGAAAAUAAACCGGUGAAAAUUGGUCGCGAUGGCCAGGAGAUCGAAUCGAAAGUAGCCGAAGAGUUGUGCAGAUUGUUCCCGGAGGAUACUUCAGUCGAAAUGACUCCGAUUCUGAAGAAAUCGAAAGAAGCUUCGAAGCAAAUGAAGGAAAAGGCAGCCUCCAAGUCAUUCCGGCGUCAGCCAAAUUUCUCUCGUCCGUCAAGUUCUACGCGUGGUCGCGGUGGACUUGGUAGCGGUAACGGUGGUGGUCCGAUACGAGGAGGCCGUAGGAAGAUUUUCCACGGCAAAGGACGUCCGCCAAUGUUCGCACCGUAUCGUAAAGAUAGCCGCCGUGGACACGGACCAAGGCUGCCUCCAGGGAUGGAUCGUGCUGCUGCGGCAGCAGCGGCUGCCAGUGCCGCUGGUUUUCACGGAUGGGAACGUUACAGCAGUACUGCUGCAGCCGAGGCGUAUGUAGCGGAUUAUAUGCGCACAAUGCAGCAUCAGUUGCCUCCGAUGCCGUACGCACCUCCGCCCGGUUUUCCGGGAAUGCCUAUGCCCUACGAGGGACUACCUCCACCACCGCGUUACUACGAAGGUUUGCCAAUUCCGGAAUAUCCUUUCCCACCGGGGGCUAUCCCGGGAAGUGUAACUGGAGCAGCUGGUGUCCAACCACCCCGCAGUAAUCCGUACGAUAAGUAUGAUGAGUUUAUGUGGAAGCCCCCGCAGAGUGGUGCCCCUGCAACGGCAGCGGUACCUACCUCAACCGCGAGCACUGCCGGGCUGCCAUCGAUGAAAGGUCCCCCUCCACCGUUACCGAAUUAUCACGUUCCACCUCCACUGACUCACCUGUCCUCGGCCGGUGGCAGUGGUCCGUCUUAUGGGCGCAAAAACGACCGAGUUGACGGUGGUGAUGGUCGUGGACAGCGUGAUCGGGACCGGAACCAUCGGAACGAUCGUAGUCAUCGGGGAGGUCGCGGAUAUAAUCACAGGGAUAGAAGAUGAUCGGAAGGGUAUUGUUUACUAACUCCACCAGUGUUUACCGAGUGAUGAUGACAGAAGUAUGCUAAACAGUCGUUGGGCGAUGCGUAUCAGAUAGAAGAUGCCGAAGUGGAAUGAGAAAUGAUGAAAACCGCCUUCUGAGGCGACGACUAGACGAGAUGCCUCCUGUGUUAUGUAUGGAUGAAAUAAAGAAAAAAACUCACCAAUGUAAUGAGCCAUCUCGUCCAGGAAUACAGAGGGCGGCUUUGAUACAUCUUCGCCGUAUCGGAUUCCCACUGACAGGUUCCGCUAGACAAAGUCAGUAGCGCAACCCGCACAUACAUCCCGUGAAACCUAUUUAUUAGAAAUGAAAAAAUGUCGCCGAUAUAAAUCUAGCACAUGCAGUUACUACAAACUUGAUUACUGUGUCAUUCGGUUUUCUUUUUCGUCGAAGUAAAAAGGAAAAUGACGAAAUGUGAUUGAUAAGCUCAUCGUUAUCGCCAGGAGAAACAGAAGCAUGUUUCCGCCGGAACGCCGUGGAGCGUGCUUCACCCAUCAUCGACGCAUCAGCAGAAUCUUCAUUAGUUAUCCAGCUAGCCAAUAAUAACCGUCACUCACCAGAGACUCCGUUGUCCCCACCUUCGUGAAUGGCAGUGAAGAAAUGUGUGAUCUCUCUCUCACCGUGUGCAGACUGUGAAAAAAACGGAAGAAAAUAGUGCUUUUGUUUGUCCAUUUUGCAUUUGCCCCCCCCCGCAUCGUAUCCCAUUUCUACCGAAACAACAGAAAAAUACGUGAAUCAAACAAAACCAACGUCGUUCUCUUCUAAUGCGAAUGACGCUCGACGGAUCCUCUUAACGGACUUAGGCUUUAGUUUGUGUGGUCUUUUUGCGAAGAAAAGUGAUUUUCGCCGAAAUAUGGAUUUUGUUCUAGAGCGAAACGAAAAGAUGAAUGUAAGAGUUUGGGAAGGACUUCUUUGCACAGAUUGCAGAGGAUAAACGUAAUCUGUUCUAUAUUGAAAAAAAGUAUUCUCACGCUGAUAAGAAAAAUAUAUUUGUGAUUGUCUAUCGACGAGUAGCAGCAAAGGACAUAAGUGUAUCGAUCGUGUCUCGGUGGAAGAAAACAGUGUGUUUACAGACAAUCGAAGAAAUAAAAAUACAAAAAGUGUAACCGUGUUUAGAGGAUUAAAAAGCAAACAAAACAAAUCUACAAUUAUUACUAUUGCUAGAAUGCUACUAGAUAUUUACCUACACUAUAUAAAAGAAUACAUAACUAUUAUGUAUCGACAGGCAAAGCAAACAGAACGAAAAUGAAAUUUAAAUUAUGAACUUUUACUAGUAAUCCAAUAAAGGUUUAGCAACAACCAAACCAAAACCGAGUGAGAUGAACUUUCUGCCAGAUAAGUGUGGUGCAAUCUAAACAGCAUCGUAGUUAUAAUUUGAUGGUGAGCCUCGUUCCUCCCCUCGCUGUGUGUUAGCAACGGCGCUGAAUGCCGAAACAUGUGAUAUACCGAAACCUUCUUUUCGAAAGGACUUUUUAAAGCGCAACCCAAACUGCAAAACCAAACCAAAAGCCUUCCACCAACUGGGAGAAAAAUCACUUUUAAGAGGAUACCGAAAUUCUCCAAUCGAAAAAGCGAAAAAUAGUUGUGAUAUACAAAAUAGAGAAUACGACUGAGUGUGGUGAAAUUUUAAAAGACUCUUCCAUAGCUAUUACUGAAUGGGACUGAUUUUCAUAAAAUCGCAGCGAAAUGUGUUACGUAUUUAUAGAUGUGACUAGUUCGAAGCUUAUUCAAACCAAAAAAAAAACGAAAACAAAGACUGCAUUUAUUUACACUAGCGGAAGCCUUAUGUUAUGCGAAUGCUACUGAGAGAGCCAAGCAAACAGUAUUUUUGGAUUCCAUGAAUCCCACGCAGUUUCCUUCCCGGAAGCAGCAAACUCUGGCGCUUUUCAAAAGCACCGCAACAACUGGACUGAUGAACAGAACCGAGCGUUAGCUUUCUACGAACAGUCGGGAGAUGGCUCGUCCCAAAACCGUCGGAAAUGGAAAUGGCAAGUGUGUGUAUGUGUGAAGCGUGACCAAUCCUAUCCGCGCUUGCGGAUACGGAGUCCUGAUGACAGCAGCACUAUGGUUCAAUCUUUUUGACCGAGAACAGAAUAAAAUCGAAAUGCUAUUUAUUAUGUUAUUUAAAGAUGAAA